rnacentral:misc_RNA from 2 species
AACGCACAUUGCGCCCCUUGGUAUUCCAUGGGGCAUGCCUGUUCGAGCGUCAUUUGUACCUUCAAGCUCUGCUUGGUGUUGGGUGUUUGUCUCGCCUCUGCGUGUAGACUCGCCUCAAAACAAUUGGCAGCCGGCGUAUUGAUUUCGGAGCGCAGUACAUCUCGCGCUUUGCACUCAGAACGACGACGUCCAAAAGUACAUUUUUACACUCUUGACCUCGGAUCAGGUAGGGAUACCCGCUGAACUUAA